rnacentral:rRNA from 1 species
UACGGAGGGUGCAAGCGUUAUCCGGAUUCACUGGGUUUAAAGGGUGCGUAGGUGGGCAAGUAAGUCAGUGGUGAAAUCUCCGGGCUUAACUUGGAAACUGCCAUUGAUACUAUCAGUCUUGAAUACCGUGGAGGUCAGCGGAAUAUGUCAUGUAGCGGUGAAAUGCUUAGAUAUGACAUAGAACACCAAUUGCGUAGGCAGCUUACUACACGAUCAUUGACGCUGAGGCACGAAAGCGUGGGGAGCAAACAGG